rnacentral:rRNA from 1 species
CUACGGGAGGCACCAGUGAGGAAUAUUGCACAAUGGGGGGAACCCUGAUGCAGCAACGCCGCGUGGAGGAUGACGCAUUUCGGUGUGUAAACUCCUUUUAUAUGUCAAGAAAAUGACGGUAGCAUAUGAAUAAGCACCGGCUAAUUCCGUGCCAGCAGCCGCGGUAAUACGGAGGGUGCAAGCGUUACUCGGAAUCACUGGGCGUAAAGGACGCGUAGGCGGGUUGGAAAGUCAGGUGUGAAAUCCUACAGCUUAACUGUAGAACUGCACUUGAAACUUCUAAUCUAGAGUAUGGGAGGGGGAGAUGGAAUUAGUGGUGUAGGGGUAAAAUCCGUAGAUAUCACUAGGAAUACCUAAAGCGAAGGCGAUCUCCUGGAACAUUACUGACGCUAAGGCGUGAAAGCGUGGGGAGCAAACAGGAUUAGGUACCCUUGUAGUC